rnacentral:rRNA from 1 species
UACGUGGGGGGCAAGCGUUGUUCGGAAUUACUGGGCGUAAAGGGCUCGUAGGUGGUCAACUAAGUCAUACGUGAAAUCCCUCGGCUUAACCGGGGAACUGCGCCUGAUACUGGUUGACUUGAGUUUGGGAGAGGGACGCGGAAUUCCAGGUGUAGCGGUGAAAUGCGUAGAUAUCUGGAGGAACACCGGUGGCGAAGGCGGCGUCCUGGACCAAUACUGACACUGAGGAGCGAAAGCCAGGGGAGCAAACGGG